rnacentral:rRNA from 1 species
ACGCUGGCGGCGUAGCCUAACACAUGCAAGUCAACUUGACUGAAGGAGCAAUCUGACAGUAGAGUGGCGCAAGGGUGCGUAACGCGUAAGUAACUUGCCCCAAGGUAAGGAAUAACGUCGAGAAAUCGGCGCUAAUACCUCAUAAUGCAGCGGAUCCGCAUGGAUAUGUUGUUAAAGGUUUACCGCCUUGGGAUAGGCUUGCGUCUGAUUAGCUAGUUGGUGUGGUAACGGCACACCAAGGCUACGAUCAGUAACUGGUCUGAGAGGAUGAUCAGUCACACUGGAACUGAGACACGGUCCAGACUCCUACGGGAGGCAGCAGUGAGGAAUAUUGGGCAAUGCUCGAAAGAGUGACCCAGCAACGCCGCGUGGAGGAUGAAGGUAUUCUAUAUCGUAAACUCCUGUGAGAGCAGACGAAAGACAGAUUAUUAAUCUGGAUGACUGUAUGCUCAGAGGAAGCCCCGGCUAACUACGUG